UUUUCUUUCUGGAGAUCCCUCUGUGGUGAAGCUUUCCCUUACAAACCGGGAAUCUUCAGAUAUGGUUGUUGUCAGUAUCUCCUCCAGAAGACGUAAUGUACGGUCUCUAUGCCCUGUGGAAUUCUGGAGAGUGCAUGCUUUCAUUGGAGUCUUCACAAAGCACUCACAACAGGGGCUGCCAGCUGUGGCUUGAAGCUUCUACUUCUCUGCCCUGCGUCGGACACAAGUACAAACAAGAGAGAUUAUGCUUCUUCGGAUUACCUUUGCUGCAAUAAUCUUCUCCAAUCCCAUAACAAGUUGUGAUUUUCACAAGAUUAACUCAUUUCCUAUUGAUAUUGCUCCUUCCCCAGGCUUCAGUGGAAAAAUUCAGCUUUGAGUUGACUUAAAACUUGAAAUGUCCUAUACAAAAAAAGAAGAAACAAGACUUAAAUAAGAUUUUCUGCUCAAACUGUUGUUCAUUCUCACUGGCAUCUGGAGAUUUGCAUGUUCCUCAGCACAGGCCAAAUUCUGCCCCUGCAGCAUUGAAAAAGGUGUUUAGUGCUCCCUUGGUGAGGGGUUGGCCAGUUUUUUUGCUGCCUCAAGCUGCUCCCUCACAACAAAGUUGCUCGUACAAAAGUUGUUGUUGCUGUGCUCUCAACUGCCUCAUGCUGGCAGACAAGGUCGGUCUUACAAGCUCUAGAUUUCUUAAUGUCCUGCUGACACAGAGGGCUUUUAGAUGGCAAAAACCCAGCAAAGGUUUAACAGUAAGUAUCUCAUACUAUUGGCAAAGGGAGACUUCUGCUGUCUCGUGCUCCUAAGUCAUGCCCUAUCUGCAGAAAAUGGGUAAGAGAAGGGAUUGCGAUGAUGCUGAGGGGAAGGCAGACAAAUAGUGAGAUCUGAUUCAGGAAUAAGUCUAUGAAAAGGCAAGAGGUUCUGCUAAGUCACUUUCUCUGGGUAUUGUUCCAUUUUAUUUUUUGCAAGAACUAGCAUCUUUUUUUUCCCCCCAUGACUUACAAAAUUUGUCUGCUAUGAUUAAUUUUUGCUAUUUCUGGGCUGCCAUCCCCUGCACCUGAGGUGAUCCUUAAGUAGCCAUGCAGUGACUGGCCACAGGCCAUUGCUGUCAGUCACUUAGAGCAUCACACAACAGUUUUACCAGGAGAUAAUGUAAGGAUUUACACUCCACCACUUUACCUGUACAGCAAGCUGAGGUAAACCAAUUUGGUGGAAAUGUAAUUUUGCUCCUUACAGUUUGUAUUUGCUCCAGAUGAUCAUAAUCAGAGAAAUCUUCCAUCCUCUCUGGCCUGAACUGUAUCUUCAGUGCAGGUACUUAUUUUAGAAUUCUGAAUCUGAGAGGAAUAUAAGGAAGGUGGGACGGGGCAGAGUGUAAUUGAGACCUCUACUCUUGUGGCCUUAUUACAACAUACUAUGGACAACAUGUGAGAGCUGUUCUCUGCUAAAGAUCUUAAAACCAUUGGAGAAAAAGGAGAGGCUAAACAAGUUUUGUGUUGAAUAUUGCUGGAAAUGGAAAGGAGCUCUGGUAAAUUACUUGAGGACUGAGAUCUUGAUGCAAAUAAGUUUGAAACUUUUAAAAUGUAUUUAGAGAUUUUCUGGAUUCCUGACUUCUCAAAAAGUGCUGAGUAUUUACAGCAGUGGAAAACAAGCUUCUUUAAUGUGGCUAAGUGUGAAUGCAGAAUUGGAUACAUCAGAAAUACCCAGUUUCUUUCAUGAAGCUCCAGUUAAGUACAAAGAUCCAGAUUUAAAAUGUAAUACAAUCCUAAACAAUUAUUAGUGCUGUUUUAAACAGUUGUCAGUGGUUUUUGCAAGGGAUUGAGGGUUGUUUAGAUAAAGAUAACACACUGAUAAGAAGUCAUUUUGGGACAGAAGAUAUUUCAGUCUUGACAAACAACUAUGAACUGCCUUAAACUUAACUCCCCCAGGACUUGAACUUCAAGAUCUUCUCAGACCCAAAGCAACAAAGCACAGCCUGUGCCAUGGAAAACAGCAGAGCCAGCAGCCCAUGGAGCUGAUGUGCUGCUGGAGGGGAGGCCAGCAGCAUGUCAUCAUGUGUCAUGCAGGUCAUGGGCUCCGUAACUAGAGGAACAUGCUGACCUGGAGCAAGUCAGACCACAGCGCUUCACACCAGCUUGAACUGUCAGAGUCUUACUGGAAUCUUCCUGUAAAACACUAGAAGCAGGUUAGCUGUCAGGCCCCAGACUACAGACAGCUGUGUCUGUGGCUCACACUGGGAAAGGAAGGUUGACUACAUGGCUGAUACACACACUAGCUGUAGAGCAAGAAUUGACUUUUAAAUUAAAUAUUAAUAAAACAAACAAAAAUUGAGGGCCAAAGUUUAAAAUAUCUAUACAAGUAAAAGAAAUGUGUAAGCAAAAGGCAACCCAUUGCUGCCACUCACUGGGUAAAUGGACAGCC
ensembl:lncRNA